rnacentral:tRNA from 1 species
UCAAGUUAGAGCUUGAUAUAAGCGUUUUAUUUACACUAAAAAGUUAAUUGUGUAAUUCAAUUUUUCUUGAA